rnacentral:rRNA from 1 species
GACGAACGCUGGCGGCGUGCUUAACACAUGCAAGUCGAACGGAAAGGCCCUGCUUUUGUGGGGUGCUCGAGUGGCGAACGGGUGAGUAACACGUGAGUAACCUGCCCUUGACUUUGGGAUAACUUCAGGAAACUGGGGCUAAUACCGGAUAGGAGCUCCUGCUGCAUGGUGGGGGUUGGAAAGUUUCGGCGGUUGGGGAUGGACUCGCGGCUUAUCAGCUUGUUGGUGGGGUAGUGGCUUACCAAGGCUUUGACGGGUAGCCAGCCUGAGAGGGUGACCGGCCACAUUGGGACUGAGAUACGGCCCAGACUCCUACGGGAGGCAGCAGUGGGGAAUAUUGCACAAUGGGCGGAAGCCUGAUGCAGCAACGCCGCGUGCGGGAUGACGGCCUUCGGGUUGUAAACCGCUUUCGCCUGUAACGAAGCGUGAGUGACGGUAAUGGGUAAAGAAGCACCGGCUAACUACGUG